rnacentral:rRNA from 1 species
UACGUAGGGUGCAAGCGUUGUCCGGAAUUAUUGGGCGUAAAAGAGCUCGUAGGCGGUUUUUGUCGCGUCUGCUGUGAAAAAAUCAGGGCUUUAACCCCUGGACCUGCAGUGGGGGUACGGGGCAGACUGGAGUGCGGUAGGGGGGAGAUCGAAUUCCUGGUGUAGCGGUGAAAAUGCGCAGAUAUCAGGAGGAACACCGGUGGCGAAAGGGCGGGAUCUCUGGGGGCCCGUAAACUGACGCUUGAGGGAGCGAAAAAAGCAUGGGGGGGGAGCGAAACAG